AUGAUGGAGCUCGGCCCGUUCCGAGUGAACCCCGACGGCAAGACUCUGAGGAGGAACAAGCACGCCUGGAACAACCUGGCAAACGUGAUCUUUCUGGAGUCGCCAACCGGAGUGGGGUUCUCCUACGCGAGCAACAACCCGGAUAAUAUCAACAAGCGGGGCGACCAGAGAACUGCCGAGGACACAUUCGUCUUCCUGCUCAACUGGUUGGAGAGGUUCCCCAAGUACAAGGGCCGCGACUUCUACAUCGCUGGCGAGAGCUAUGGUGGCCACUACGUGCCGCAGCUUGCCACCGUAAUCACCUUCAUGAACGAGCUCCACCGCACCACUUUCAUAAACCUCCGCGGCAUCUUCGUCGGCAAUCCGAUCCUUGACAAUUACAAGAACAGCGAGGGGAAUCUGGAGUUUCUAUGGAGCCACGGGCUGAUCUCCGACGAGAUCUGGGCCGGGAUCCGUGCUAACUGCACCUUCACCCCGAAAGACGACGGGCGGUGGUGCUCUGUGGCGGGGCAGGCAUUCCACAUAGGCGGCAUCUAUCCCCGAAACAUAUACGACCCGAGGAUCUGCCUUCCGUCAGCACGCGAAGGCUAUCUGGCUGGCUAUGAUCCAUGCAUGGAGUACUACGUCGAGGCUUACCUGAACACUGGCGAGGUGCAAGAAGCUCUGCACGCCCGCACCAACACAAGUUGGAUAGCUUGCCCAAGAACAAGCGUCCCCUUCCAUUAUAACCCCGGCCCAGUUACCAUGGUGCCAACGAUCAGGAGGCUAGUCGAACGUGGGUUAAGCGUAUGGGUCUAUAGUGGCGAUUUGGAUUCCACAUGCUCGAUUACCUCGACGAGGUACUCGGUCAAGGAUCUCAACUUGCCCGUCACCAAGCCAUGGCGCGCUUGGUACACCCCGGACGUCGAGGUUGGAGGCUAUGUUCAGCAGUACCAGGGAGGCUUCACGUUUGCAUCGGUGAGGGGUGCUGGCCAUCUGGUUCCUAGCUAUCAGCCAGAGAGAGCCCUUGUUCUUCUCUACUCUUUCCUCAAGGGCAGGCUCCCGCCUGGGUGA
rnacentral:rRNA from 1 species